rnacentral:rRNA from 1 species
UACGUAGGGAGCAAGCGUUGUCCGGAAUCAUUGGGCGUAAAGCGCGCGUAGGUGGCCCCAUAAGUCCGCUGUGAAAGUCAAAGGCUCAACCUUUGAAAGCCGGUGGAUACUGUGGGACUAGAGUACGGAAGAGGCGAGUGGAAUUCCUGGUGUAGCGGUGGAAUGCGCAGAUAUCAGGAGGAACACCAAUAGCGAAGGCAGCUCGCUGGGACGUUACUGACACUGAGGCGCGAAGGCCAGGGGAGCAAACGGG